AUCCACCUGAUGAAUUCUAACUAGGACGAAACGUACGUUCUGGAU
rnacentral:hammerhead_ribozyme from 1 species